rnacentral:rRNA from 1 species
AGGGCUCGUAUUCCUCCUAAGGUCAAGGUUUUCCUCUGGCAAGCCUCUCGUGGGCGUCUACCGACGGGUAACCAAAUUCGCAAACGCAAUGGCCCGGGAUCUGAUAGAUGUGCUUUAUGUGGGUUGAGAGAAGACUCGUCACAUAUUUUCUUCAACUGUGUGUUGGCUAAGCUGUUCUGGUGCUGUAUCAGAUCAUGGAUGCAUGUCUCCUGGGCUCCGACCUCCUUUUCUGACUUGCGCAUCUUGGCCAAUUCUUUGGUUGGGGCCCAAAGGAGAUUGUUUUGGGUGGGCUUCGCAGCCAUGUGCUGGUCUCUUUGGACGACAAGGAAUAAAUUUACUAUCGAACAUGUUUUCCCCGCUAAGCCUGUUGAUUGCUCAUUUAAGACUUGUAUAUUCCUGCAGCAGUGGAGAUUAUUGACUAAGGAGGAGGAUAGGGACGCCCUCGACGCCAUGUUGGCCAAGAUCCGGAAUUCUGUCCUCUCCAUCUCCCCAGUUCAAGUAGGCACUUAG